rnacentral:rRNA from 1 species
GAUGAACGCUGGCGGCGUGCCUAAUACAUGCAAGUCGAGCGGCAGCACGGUCUUCGGACUGGUGGCGAGCGGCGGACGGCUGAGUAACGCGUAGGAAUAUACCCAAAGUGAGGGAUAACUGCCCGAAAGGGUAGCUAAUACCGCAUGUGGUCUUCGGACUAAAGCCUUCGGGCGCUUUGGGAAUAGCCUGCGUAAGAUUAGCUAGUUGGUGAGGUAAUGGCUCACCAAGGCGACGAUCUUUAGCUGGUCUGAGAGGAUGACCAGCCAGACUGGAACUGAGACACGGUCCAGACUCCUACGGGAGGCAGCAGUAGGGAAUUUUCCACAAUGGGCGAAAGCCUGAUGGAGCAACGCCGCGUGCAGGAUGAAGGCCCUCGGGUCGUAAACUGCUUUUAUGUGCGAAGAAUAUGACGGUAACACAUGAAUAAAGGGUCGGCUAACUACGUGCCAGCAGCCGCGGUAAU